GUACACACCGCCCGUCGCUGCUACCGAUUGAAUGUCUUAGUGAGUUGCAGGGAGCGUGCCGCGCGGGGCGACUCGCGCGGCGGCGCGAACUGUAUCAAACUUGCACAUUUAGAGGAAGCAAAAGUCGUAACAAGGUUUCCGUAGGUGAACCUGCAGAAGGAUCA
rnacentral:rRNA from 1 species